rnacentral:rRNA from 1 species
AUUGAACGCUGGCGGCAUGCCUUACACAUGCAAGUCGAACGGCAGCGGGGGAGAAGCUUGCUUUUCCUGCCGGCGAGUGGCGAACGGGUGAGUAAUACAUCGGAACGUGCCCUGUAGUGGGGGAUAACUAGUCGAAAGAUUAGCUAAUACCGCAUACGACCUGAGGGUGAAAGUGGGGGACCGCAAGGCCUCAUGCUAUAGGAGCGGCCGAUGUCUGAUUAGCUAGUUGGUGGGGUAAAGGCCUACCAAGGCGACGAUCAGUAGCUGGUCUGGGAGGACGAUCAGCCACACUGGGACUGAGACACGGCCCAGACUCCUACGGGAGGCAGCAGUGGGGAAUUUUGGACAAUGGGCGAAAGCCUGAUCCAGCAAUGCCGCGUGUGUGAAGUAGGCCUUCGGGUUGUAAAGCACUUUUGUCCGGAAAGAAAUGGCUCUGGUUAAUACCUGGGGUCGAUGACGGUACCGGAAGAAUAAGGACCGGCUAACUACGUGCCAGCCGCCGCGGUAA